rnacentral:tRNA from 1 species
GCUUUCGUGGUGUAGUGGUCAGCACGCUCGACGCGUAAUCGAGAGGUCCGUGGUUCGAUUCCCGGCCAGAGCG